rnacentral:misc_RNA from 1 species
AACGUUCCGGCCCUCGGCACGUCCCGACCUCUUCACCGGGGGAGCGGCGUGCCGGAGUCACCGUCACCACAUGUGAAACUUCUACCUUUGCUUCGGCAGCACCGAGCGGGAGACCGCGAGGGUAAGGCUGUCGGAAGCCCACCGCAAAACCAGUCGAUGAAAUGUCAUGCUGUCUGAUACACACUCUUUAUUUGAGAAAUCAAGUAAUGUCAUUA